rnacentral:lncRNA from 1 species
AACAGUUUACAGGGAUCAACAUUGUCGCUUUCUAUUCACCAAACCUCUUUCAAUCUGUGGGUUUAGGAAACAACGGUGCUUUACUUUCUGCCGUUAUUCUUGGACUCGUCAACCUUGCUUCUAUCCUAGUCUCAACUGCUUUUGUCGAUCGGUUUGGUCGAAGAUUCUUGUUCAUUACGGGUGGCAUUCUAUUGCUUGUCUGUCUGGUAAGCAAAUUAAGCAACCAUAUGUGUAUAAUAUUAUUUAUAUUUAUUUAUUGUUCUAGUAUUUUCAUACUCUCAACUACUAAAAAAAUGAAAUAACUGCAGAAAGGUUGCGGUACUAAUGCUUUUUCCGUCUCUAAAUUUUCGUCCUUAUUUUAAUUUCUCCGUCUAGUCGUUAUACCAGUGUUAUUGGUACUAAUAAUUAUAAUUUGUGUUGACACUUUGAAAGAUCACGGUGUCUGCUUUGCUAGCUUUGGCGACUGGUGUUGAUGGUACAAAGCACAUGUCAAAGGGAAAUGCAACAUUGGUAUUGGUUUUACUAUGUUUCUACGCCGCAGGUUUUGGUUGGUCUUGGGGUCCACUCACCUGGCUAAUUCCAAGUGAAAUUUUCCCCUUAAAAAUCAGAACAACUGGACAAAGUAUAGCAGUUGGUGUACAAUUCAUAAUCUUGUUUAUGUUAUCACAAACAUUCUUGACAAUGCUAUGCCACUUCAAGUUUGGUGCUUUCUUGUUCUAUGCAUUUUGGGUUGCAGUGAUGACUCUAUUUAUCAUUUUCUUUUUGCCUGAGACCAAAGGAAUUGCUUUGGAGUCAAUGUAUAUUAUAUGGGGCAAACAUUGGUAUUGGCGGCGGUUUGUUAAAGGAGAUGUUGACAAGGACAAUCUUCCAUGAAGAAAAUAGUUCAAUCACUUCAUAUUCUAUGUAAAGUUAUUUGUAUGCAAAUUGAUUAUAGGUGUUGGCUCUGCUACACUUCUUAUAGAUAUGAAAAUAAUUGCUUGAAAGAUCAUAUUAGUGUAUUAUAUAAGUUUAUGUAAUCCCUUUUUUAGUUAGAGUUCAAGUUGAUGCUUAUGGCUUUCAAAGUUUAUGAUAAAAACUUAGGUUUAGUCUUUUGUGCAGAGGUUAUUAUCAAGGAUAAAAUGCAGGGUUUGUUCUGUUCUGGUGGAGGCUGUUAUUUUGAACAAAAGCUUCUAUACAUAUUGAGAACUUAUAAGAGCUUAUGUAAGUAAGGCAAAUAUAAUUUGGCCUUUUAGAAUUUGAUAUUUUGAUGUUUUUGAGCUGACUGUAUUUCUGUAUGUAACCAAUCACUAGGUGUGUAGCCAAACUCUAUUUUGGCUAAUCUUUAGCAUAAGACUAGUCUCUUGCAAUAUAAUAACCAAUACAAUUAUUUUGUUAAAACAAAUUAGACUUAAAUGUAUUUUCGCUCGCUCUAUUUUGCCUAAACUAAAUCUUAUUGUUCCUAAACUAAAGUUUUAGUCCCCAUAUUUAUAAAUUGAGUUCAUAUGUUAAAAUUUAUGUAUAGGAGAGGAGAUGGCUUUCUGUAGUAAAAAAAUUUGAUUUGAAUAGUUUCUACAAUAAAAAUUUCUGGUUUCAUUUAACAAAAAAAAUUCAAUAUAUGUUAAUGUGAAUUUAGUAGGUAUUUGUCAAUGUCAACUAUACGAAUAUACCGUGCAUUUUGUUUGUACUUCAUCUGUCUCUGUUCGUCUUAUGUAGAGUUCGAAUUUUUAAUAAAUUUUUCCUGAUUCAAAAAAAAAAAAACUAUAUGAAUGACUUUCUAUGAUUAAAAAACUUAUUUGAAUGGUUGACACAACAACAAUUUUCGUUUCAUUUUCUCAAAAAAAUCGUUUCAUUUAACCAAAAAAAAAUUCAUUAUGUUAAUGUGUAUUUAUUAGGCAAAUGUCAACGAUAUGAAUGCCUUUCUAUGAUAAAAAUUUGAUCUGAUUUGUUUUCCAAUAACAGGACACGUGGCAUUGGCAUUGUUAGGGCAUUUUAGGUUGCCACGUGGAUUAGCCAUUGGUUAUGUUCAAAUGUAUGUAUAGUGGAUGGAUAGUGUAUUUCCCUAAAAUCAAUUUCCUAUCCCGCUAUUCCAAAACCGUGUCUUGCUCUCAUAACCGGUCUCACUCUUUCAUAAUCUUAAAAUCAAUUUUACUGUUAAUUUUAAUUUCUCAAGCACUUCAAUCAAUAUCUUCCAAAAACUAGAUUUAAGAUUUCUCAAGCUCUUCAAUCAAUUUCUCAAGCUCUUCAAGGUAUGCUUAUCUUCCCUUCAGAUUCGAGGAAACUCAGUUUUUUUUUUUUUUUUUUUUUUUUUUUUUUUUUUUUAAAUUUCUCAAGCUUUUUAAGGUAUCACCAUUCACUCUCUCUAUUACAAUAUGUAUUCUCUUCAACAAAUCAACCAUGUUUCCAUAAACUUGUACCUGAUUCUUAGUUCAAUUUUAGGAUUUAUUUUAUUUUACUUAUUAAGGUUUUUGGUGUGCUUAACUACCUAGACCUGGAUUCACGUUUGCUGUUGAAAUGUAGUGGCGGGAUUUUGCUGUUCCAAUUGGGUGUACAUUGUGGUUUGUGUUAUAUUAGGGUUUUUAUUGAUUUGUUAUGUAUUGACUGGUGCUAGUCACAACCAAUACCAAAAUUGCCCUCUUCAUGUAAAUUUUUAAAAACCCAUCUUUUAUGAUCAUUCUGAACCCUUACCCUNUACCUUGUUAUCAUCAAAACUCUUAAGGGUUAAUGUUAAACACAUUUUGUUCCAACACUUUGAGGUUGGAUCUAUAACCCAAUUUUUUUUCUUCAGAUUGAGGUUUAUGAAAAGUGGAAUCUUAUUUUGCGCAUGAAGGGGAAGUUUUUGUCGACUUCAUAGCGCUAACUAAAUUUUAUCGCCUAAAUGGAUAUGGUUUAAAGUUGCGGUCGCAGAUGCUACUAUGGAGUGAAACUACAAUUGCACGCAUUUUGGUUGUGGUUUUUGUAUAUAAAUGUUAGUUGUUAGUAUGUUAUGUUAGUUUCCAAGACGUAGCUCAAGUGAUGGGCCAAAGACAUUUGAAUGAUUGUGAGCAGGAGAAUAUUAACUUUGUCAUUCACAAAUAAAUCCUAAUAUAAAAAAAUUAUUAUUCUUAUAUCUAAUAUUAUUAAGAUGAGUAUAAUUUUACAUUAUUAUUCUUAUGAAUAAAUUUUGUAAAUUUAAAAUUUAAGUUGUUUUUGUUCAAAUUGUUCAUUUUUAAAGAAAAAUAAAUAUCAUAUUAUUAGUUUAAAUCCUUGAAAAAAAAGUAUUAUUAGUUUAAAUGUAGUAAAAUAAAUCUAAAAUAUCAACUACCUUAAUAUUGUAAUUAUAUAAAAAAAAUAUUAAAAUAAAUACAACAGCUCAAGAAUUACCUGUGGGCGUUGAAGAGGCAAUUGAAGAGCAUUAACUAGUGGGCGUUUUGCAUUGUUUAUGCUUGCAGCUGUUGAUGAGACUAUUGUAGAGACAUGCACUAAGAGGAAGGACUAUUUGUUGAAAUGAGUAGUCAAUUACUUUUUUUUUUUGAAAGAAGAGUAUUCAAUUACUUGUACAACUUUUAAUUGAAAUGAAAAUACAUACCAGCAAAUGAGUAUUAUUUAUUUGACUUUAAUUUGUCUCUCUCAUAGUUUUUAUGAUGUGUCAUGCUUUGAUUGGAUGAGACCAUAUCCUAUUUGUUGGUCAUGAGACCAACCAAGAAUUGCUAGAAUAGUUAUGCAGAUUUAGUAGUCGAUGAUGACACUCACCGCAUUGAUGUCGCCGGAAACAACAACUAAGAUGGAGACGAUGACGACGACGACAGUGACAACCUUGGUCUCGCCGGAAACAACAAAAUGACGACGAAGACAACAUAUACGACGAUGACGAUGACGUGAUAAUUCCAUUCUUUUCGGUGAAAAAUACAACAACAUUAACGAGACCCUUAGAUUCUUCUUCUCCCCUUCCAUACAAUAAAUCAAAUACACAAUGUUCAAAACUUUCAAUUUUCCAAAAUAUAAUCUGCUUCUUAUAUUGAUCAUCGAAAAAGUGAUUCCGGAAAUAGGGUUGAGUUAAUUUAUUUAUGUGAAUUUUGUCUCGUUGUCGUAACUAAGAUCACACCCUUUGUGCUUACCCAUUAUGCUUGCCGUUGUUGUCGUCGUCAUCUCUAUUGUCUUUAUGGUUGAUGUUUUCGGCAAGGCCAUCGUUGCCGGCGUGGUCAUCCUUGUCCUCUCCACACUCGGUGGCAUCACAACACAGUGACACACUUUCUCUCUCUUAUUUUUUUUUUCUUCACAAAUUUUCUUUUUUUCUUUUUUAAUGACUAAUUCUCUCUCUUCGUCAGUGUCAUAACAUACAUUCUUGGAAUUAUAUUUUAAUGCAUAUGACUAAGUACAUGUUUGCUUCUGCGUUAUACAAACCACGUUUUCCAUAAAAUCACACAACUCACAUGUUAACGCAAAAGCUUCAAAUGCUAGCUUAUACUUCUUCCGUUCUAAAUUGUAUGACAUUUUGGACAUUUCACACAUAUUAAGAAAUGCAAUUAAUAUUGUGUGGAAAAGAGAUAUUAUGAGUUGUUUUACAAAAUUGUCUUUAAUAAAUAAUAUGAGAAAAAUAAAUGAAAGAAUUGAAAGAAGAGAGAGUAAUAAAUAAUUAAAGUUAUAAUAGGAAAAGUAACAUUAAUGUUGCAUUGGUAUUUUAAAACGACAUAAAUUUUGAGACAAAUUUUUUUCCCUAAAGCGACAUAUAAUUUGGGACAAAGGGAGUAAAAAUUAAGUCAAAUUUGCUUUGGAAAUCUCGCAGACCUGCGUUUGUGGUUGCAAAACAAACAAGAGGGAAACUCCAAAUCAUUUCCCUUUCAUGUUUUGCAAAACAACGAAAAAUAAAGUCAAGCACAACUGGUUUUUCUCAUAAAUGUUGGGGAGUAGGGGAUGAUGGGCCUGACUAAUUAAUGCACACCAAUUAUGUGAAAUAAGUGACAGAGUGAGCACACAAAAAGAAAAAAGUCCUACCGCAUAGUCAACGCUUCAAAGUAUAUAGUUGUAUUGACCACAAAGUGCCACGAUUCUUUUUCUUUUCUAACCACCAAUCUUUGAUGAUUUUGUUGAAAUGGUUUGGUGAUGAAUUGGUGAUAUUACGUUAAGAAUAUCAGAUUGGAUUGGACAUCAAAGGCUUACUCGUGCCUAACAUUUUAGCAAUAUCAAUCUAUUAGCUUAUCGUAACGUGUAAAGUUUACUAAAUUUAUUCAUAGAAAUAACAUUUCUUAAUGAAAAAGGAGAAUUUAAAAUAUUUUAGAGAACCUUUAUAAUACAAUGGUUAAUAAGUAUUUGCAUGUGAAUUUAAUCUCAUCCUCACGAUAUCUUUAUUCCCCGUGUUGCCAUGUAUGUCAACAUCAAGCGAGGACAAUGACAUUUUGUUUUGUUUUCCAAAAAUGUGUUUGCAUUGUUAGUUAGAGUGUUGGAAUUUGGAUUAAGUAGUUAUUAUUUUUCAGCAUCACUAACUUUUUUUCCUCUGAGCUUUAUCUAUACUCCUAGGUAGUAAGAAGAGCUUGCAGAUACACAGACACAGGAGAAGGUUGAAAAUGGCAGGUGGAGGGUUUGCCAUUGAUGCACCUUCCAAUGGCUUUGAUGGAAAGAUAACACUCUCAGUUAUCAUUACUUGUAUCGUUGCUGCAUCUAGUGGACUCAUUUUUGGAUAUGACAUUGGGAUUUCAGGUUUUCUUCCUUUUUGUUUUUUCAUUAUAAAGUAUCCAAUUAGACCAUGUUUUUUGCUUUCUAAAGUAUCUUGUAUUCUGCUACAUCAAUCAUUGCUCAAAAAUUGAAUGAUUUGAUCAUAUAACUCGAGAAUUAAACUCGACUCAGCAAGGUGUUUGUUUCUGUAGAAAAUUCUAAAAAAAUUGUACCUAUAAAAUGUCAAAAUCAUUAAAGAAAUUAACAUAAUUGCACAAGCUUAAUCAUCCAAUUUAAAACUAUUAUAGUAGAACAAAUCUAAAUAGGUUUUGGACAAAGUCUAAUUGCAUUUUAAUCAUGAUGCUAUACAUUAUUUUUACAUUUUAUCUUCAAAAUGUACUUGGAGAAGAACCAAAGUCAUAAAGCUCACCCUUUUUACUAAUGAAAAAUGUUAUCAAAUUCAGGAGGUGUUACAACAAUGGUGCCAUUUCUCAAUAAAUUCUUCCCAGAUAUUCUAAGAAAGGCAGCUGGUACUGAAGUAAAUAUGUACUGUGUGUAUGACAGUCAGAUGUUGACGUUGUUUACGUCCUCUCUGUAUCUAGCUGGGUUAGUGUCAACUCUUGUAGCUAGCAAAGUCACUGCAGCUAUCGGCAAAGUCACUGCAGCUAUCGGUCGAAGAAAUUCCAUCGUGUUGGGUGGUGCCAUCUUUCUUGCUGGUGCUGCUAUUAAUUGCGGUUCUGAAAAUAUUGCUAUGCUCAUCCUUGGUCGUAUUCUUCUUGGUUUUGGGGUCGGUUUCUCUAGUCAAGUAAAUGAACAUAUACAAUCAUACACAUUUGUUAAUAGUAGUAGUUCAACCUCGUCAACAAUAUAAAAUUUUCUAUUAUACAUAAGCAAUGAGACCAUUUCCCCUUUUUUUAGUUUAACUUUUAGCCGCAAUUUUAAAUAGCAACGUUGCCGCGAUUCUUGUUCUUAAAGAUAAUUGGGAUCAAAUAUAGUUGUAUCGUGGUCGCUGGGACAUAAAAAUCAUAAUGUUGUGGCCCAAAUUUUAAUAGCAUCCUUUAUUUAAAAUCUUGCUACUAACUUUUAACUUAAUAAACCUUGUUUAAAAUAAAUUUGCUUGCUAAUUGUAUUACAUGAUGCAAUUGGAAAAGGCGGCUCCACUAUACCUUUCUGAAAUUGCUCCACCAAAAUGGUGAGGUGCUUUCAGCACAGGCUUCCAACUCUUCUUAGGAGUUGGCGUGGUUGCAUAAAUUACGCGACUGCCAAGCAAACAUGGGGCUGGCGACUCUCUCUUGGACUAGCAGUGGUGCCUGGAGCCGUGAUGACAAUUGGUGCCUUCCUCAUAUCCGACACACCCAGCAGCUUGGUUGAACGUGGCAAGAUAGACCAAGCCAGGAAAGCAUUGCAAAAAAUCAGAGGAUCAUCCAUUGAUGUUGAGCCCGAGUUAGAAGAACUCUUUAAGUGGACAGAAAUUUCGAAAGCAGUGCAACAAGAGCCAUUUAUGACCAUAUUUGAGAGACAAUAUCGACCUCACUUGGUCAUGGCAUUUUCAAUCCCAUUUUUUCAACAGUUUACAGGGAUCAACAUUGUCGCUUUCUAUUCACCAAACCUCUUUCAAUCUGUGGGUUUAGGAAACAACGGUGCUUUACUUUCUGCCGUUAUUCUUGGACUCGUCAACCUUGCUUCUAUCCUAGUCUCAACUGCUUUUGUCGAUCGGUUUGGUCGAAGAUUCUUGUUCAUUACGGGUGGCAUUCUAUUGCUUGUCUGUCUG